rnacentral:rRNA from 1 species
AGUGAACGCUGGCGGUAGGCCUAACACAUGCAAGUCGAACGGCAGCACAGGAGAGCUUGCUCUCUGGGUGGCGAGUGGCGGACGGGUGAGGAAUACAUCGGAAUCUACCUUUUCGUGGGGGAUAACGUAGGGAAACUUACGCUAAUACCGCAUACGACCUACGGGUGAAAGUGGGGGACCGCAAGGCCUCACGCGAUUAGAUGAGCCGAUGUCCGAUUAGCUAGUUGGCGGGGUAAUGGCCCACCAAGGCGACGAUCGGUAGCUGGUCUGAGAGGAUGAUCAGCCACACUGGAACUGGGACACGGUCCAGACUCCUACGGGAGGCAGCAGUGGGGAAUAUUGGACAAUGGGCGCAAGCCUGAUCCAGCCAUACCGCGUGGGUGAAGAAGGCCUUCGGGUUGUAAAGCCCUUUUGUUGGGAAAGAAAUCCUGUCGAUUAAUACUCGGUGGGGAUGACGGUACCCAAAGAAUAAGCACCGGCUAACUUCGUGCCAGCCGCCGCCGUAAUAC